GAAGUGUCUAGGCAGCCAUGUUUCUCACCCGUGUGUGUUGUUUUUAGUCAAUCCCAGUCAUUAAGAUUGACUAGAAGGAACAGACUAUAACUCUCUUGGUCAUCACCCUACGCAGAAAACAAAGCUUUCAGAAUCAGGACACAAAGGACUCAAAGUGGAGAGCAGAAGUGCAGCACGGAGGAAACGCAGAGAAGCCAUUUCUAGGAGCAGUUCGAUAAAGAAAGGAAAGGACAUGAACUUUGAAGUUAAGAAGGCCGGGGUUUGAACUCACUGAUUAGUUACUUGACUUUGGGAAGGAGAUAACCAGUGGAGCACUAUCCCAGGAGAAUCACAGCACCAAGUGCCGGAAGAGGCAAUAGCAUCGGUCAAUAAGGGAGAAGCUUCUCCUUUGAGAAUAUAGCAAAGGAAGAGAAGGAGCAGAAAGAAGCCCAUUGUGUCUAGAGGAUGAUGGUAUGGAGGGACCAAGACGCUAGAAAAGUGUUGGUGAUGCUUGAAAGCAGAUCAUCCAAGUAAACCAUCAGCACAGUACCUGGCAUUCAAUUUAAGAAAAUCUUUUUCUCUUAAGGAAAUAUGACUGACAGCAAUUUGUAAGCAAAAUUGAAGUAUUUAUCUUUUUCUCCCUACCUGAUCCCUCCAGAAAUUGGAAACUCUUGCUUCCUGGCACAGGAAUCCAGCAUCCACUAUGGAGCCAAACAACCACAGACAUCCACCUGCAAAUUCCCUUAUCUCACCAUCCUCCUCCUUGCAAGCAGCCUCAAAGGGACAAAUGCAGACUGGUGGGGAAGCACCAAUUAGCAAGGCCACAGGCUUCCCCUCCCUACAAGCAGCUGCAUUCCUCACAACCUUUAAAACCCCUUGCCUCCCAUCUUUCAGGGAGAUGAGACAAAUUUGAGGGCUCACUCUUGUCUCCCAGCUGACAUCAGCCAAAAUAAAAACCCUUUCUUUGCCAUAAA
rnacentral:lncRNA from 1 species